rnacentral:snRNA from 1 species
GGAUGUGAGGGCGCUCUGGCUGUGACAUCUGUCCCUCUCUUGCUUGGCAGAGUUGGUUCGGCAGACCUGGCGGGCUAGGUGGGGGUCCCCUCUUCCCUCCCCGCUCCAUGUGCGUCCCUCCCAAAGCUGCGCACCUGGUCAGAGAGGAUGACCUCAAAUAGAGGUGUUCGGUCAAGGGCAUACAAGUAACCACGCUCCCCUGCUAGAACCUCCAAAUAAGCUCUCAGGGCAUAGCCACUCUAUCGUCGGAGUAUCGCGUGGCUAAUGAGCACUUCUUGAGAGUCACUACGUUAGUUGGGGUUCUUGAUGA